GUGAGUAGAGACGACAGCAGUCCUUAUGAGAUCAAGCUCUAAGUCUUGCUCUGUCACCCAGGCCUGGAGUGCAGUGGAGCAAUCUCAGCUCACUGCAGCCUCUUCCUCCCGGAUUCAAGUGAUUCUCCUGCUUCAGACUCCCGAGUAGCUGGGAUUACAGUUUUGAGAAGAAUGCAAAGAAGAAGGGAAGAGUGAGCCUCUCUUUUCCCAUCGUUACCCUCCAUUGUCCUCUUGACACCCUGCUUUUGCAGACAGAGAGUUUGAGACCCUCUCCCAGGAGCCAAGGAGAGGGGAACAGCUGGCUUCACAUCAUCUUUCUAUUCAACAAGACACAAAAAGCUGAAGCCAGGAUGAUAGAAAAGCAACAAAGAAGACACGGUCCUUACUCAUUUCCCUUCCCGCUUCAGAGCAAAUAUGGUGCCUGGUGUUCGAAGGGAGAACUUGUGGGCAGAGCAGGAAGCGUGAGUAUGGUUGAAGGAUCAAAUAUUUGGUUCAGGCGUCAGGGAGCCAGCAAGACUAUGAUGCUGGGAAACACAAGUGAUGUACUGUUGGAUUUAAUCUACUUGGAAAAAACCUAGGAAAACCAAAGUGUCAUCAACUAACACCUGAAAUGCCUCAGCACCAUCUGUCUACAACAUUAAACAAAACCCAGGAGAUUCUGGGAGAAAGAAAAUAGGAAAUUUAAUGAUGAACUUAACCUGAGUAACUUGAUAAAUGUUACCUUUGUGGCUAGCCGUUCACCAGCAAGUCCCUAAAAUGACCUGAAACCUGAAGAGUGUUUCACCCAUGAAAGGGUUUGCUCUCUCUGGCAUGGCUACCCAGCACAUGUUAGUCAACUUUCUUUCCCUUGCAGGGUCCCUUGGAAAACUACUUUUAAUCAUUCAUUAACUCAGCUCCACUCCUGCCCUUUCCCGUGGACCAUAUUUUCUUUGAGCAAUUAAAACUUAUAAGACACCAAAA
rnacentral:lncRNA from 1 species